GAAGGGUCUAAUUGUAAGGAAAGCUUCUAACUUAAUCUUAAAGCGGUUAAAUUCCGUUUACCUUUCU
rnacentral:tRNA from 1 species